AUGUUUUCUGUAGCUCUGCUGCUGCUGCUGGCAGCUGGAUGUGUGAAGUGUGAACAGUUGACACAGCCAGCCUCUGUGACUGUGCAGCCAGGUCAGAGUCUGACCAUCACCUGUCAGGUCUCUUAUUCUGUUAGCAGCUACUACACAGCCUGGAUCAGACAGCCUGCAGGGAAAGGACUGGAGUGGAUUGGAAUGAGAUACACUGGAGCUGCAUACUACAAAGAUUCACUGAAGAACCAGUUCAGUAUCGACUUAGACUCUUCCAGAAAAACAGCGACUCUAAACGGACUGAAUAUGCAGCCUGCAGACUCUGCAGUGUAUUACUGUGCCAGGAGAGACACACUGCAGAGAGAAUGA